UACGGAGGGUGCGAGCGUUGUCCGGAAUCACUGGGCGUAAAGGGCGCGUAGGCGGCCUGAUAAGUAGGGGGUGAAAUCCUGCGGCUUAACCGCAGGGCUGCCUUCUAAACUGUCAGGCUAGAGCACAGUAGAGGCAGGUGGAAUUCCCGGUGUAGCGGUGGAAUGCGUAGAGAUCGGGAAGAAUACCCGUGGCGAAGGCGGCCAGCUGGGCCAGGUCCGACACUGAGGCGCGAAAGCGUGGGGAGCAAACAGG
rnacentral:rRNA from 1 species